AACUUCUCUCAACCGCAUCGCAUCGCUGCGAUGUGGCUUGGAUGUGGGGGUCUUUAUUUUGUGGGCUUCUUGAAGUCUGCUCCCCUGAAAUGUAUUAGUGGUGUCUGAGCUGCUAUAGGUGUGAUAAUCCUAUCUAUGCCUUUGGUGUAUGCUGCAUGUGCUGCUUCUAAUCCACUUGUCCUUAUGA
rnacentral:misc_RNA from 1 species